ACCAAGCCACUCUUGAUGAGAACAUCCAGGCACUCAAAAAAAGCAGGCCAUGGAAGGAAUCAGUCCAACUACAAAACUAUUUUUUAGACUUUUGGGGUUUAUACUUAGAGAAAUGGGUUCGCUUUUUUCGAGAUGAACAUCUUCGUAUUGCAAUUUAUACAAACAAUGGUAUCGAAAGACAAAAUAACUGGCUCAAGCACUCAUAUCUCGAAAGUAGACGAAAUAACUCGGUGUCUGAUCUGGUUGACGUAAUAAUCAACCAUUUUUUACCUGAUAGUUACAAGAAAUACAAAGAGCAAAACAUUCGAUGUACGUCAUCAUAUCGAGGCUACGAUGAUC